rnacentral:rRNA from 1 species
GAUGAACGCUAGCGAUAGGCUUAACACAUGCAAGUCGAGGGGCAGCAUGGUCUUAGCUUGCUAAGACUGAUGGCGACCGGCGCACGGGUGCGUAACGCGUAUGCAACUUGCCUCACAGAGGGGGAUAACCCGUCGAAAGACGGACUAAUACCGCGUACACUUGGGAUAGGGCAUCCUGACCCAAGGAAAUGAAAUUCGCUGUGAGAUAGGCAUGCGUCCCAUUAGCUAGUUGGUGAGGUAACGGCUCACCAAGGCGACGAUGGGUAGGGGAACUGAGAGGUUGAACCCCCACACUGGUACUGAGACACGGACCAGACUCCUACGGGAGGCAGCAGUGAGGAAUAUUGGUCAAUGGGCGAGAGCCUGAACCAGCCAAGUCGCGUGAAGGAUGACUGUCUUAUGGAUCGUAAACUUCUUUUAUACGGGAAUAACAAGAGCCACGUGUGGCUCCCUGCAUGUACCGUAUGAAUAAGCAUCGGCUAACUCCGUG